rnacentral:rRNA from 1 species
AUUGAACGCUGGCGGCAGGCCUAACACAUGCAAGUCGAGCGAGCGGCGGACGGGUGAGUAAUGCCUGGGAAUUGCCCAGUCGAGGGGGAUAACAGUUGGAAACGACUGCUAAUACCGCAUACUAAUGGAUUGCCCAGGGGGGAUUCGCUAUUUGGGGAGGGAAUGGCUCACCAAGGCGACGAUCCCUAGCUGGUCUGAGAGGAUGAUCAGCCACACUGGAACCUAGCCACGUGCCAGACUCCUACGGGAGGCAGCAGUGGGGAAUAUUGCACAAUGGGGGAAACCCUGAUGCAGCCAUGCCGCGUGUGUGAAGAAGGCCUUCGGGUUGUAAAGCACUUUCAGCGGGGAGGCGUUACUCGCAGAAGAAGCACCGGCUAACUCCGUGCCAGCAGCCGCGGUAAUUC